rfam:Bordetella bronchialis strain AT17976, complete genome.
GGGCGGUUAGCUCAGUGGUAGAGCACUGCCUUCACACGGCAGGGGUCACUGGUUCGAACCCAGUACCGCCCA